rnacentral:rRNA from 1 species
AUGGAUAAAUUUUUGUUGAAAGGGAAACGACCAGCACCAGAUAGUAACGUGGCAGGGACUUCAAGGCCAGUUAGACCAAGACAAGAUCUUGCAUCAAAUAUUGGUACUACUACUCCGCCUCCGGCAGAAAUUAACUUAGAUGCACUUCCUCAUGAUCCAGCUGAUCGAAAAAGAAUAGGGCAGUACACAAAGAAUCCUAAGAAGCAAGAUGAGAUUAGAAGAAUAUAUUUAAAUAGAGGACCUUAUAGACCACAAGAAGGCUUUAAAUAUCCUCAGAAAACCAUCGCAGGAGCUGAACGGAGAUUUAGUCCAAAAUGGUUUAAAGACUAUCAUUGGCUAGAGUACAGUGAUAAGGUGCAUAAGGCAUUUUGCUUGUGUUGCUAUCUAUUUAGAGAUUGCAUCGAUGGCCAAGGUGGUAAUGAUGCAUUUGUUGUUAAAGGUUUCUCUUGUUGGAAUAAGAAACAAAGACUAGAUACUCAUGAGGGUGAAGUUAAUAGCUUUCACAAUGUAGCUGUUAAAAGAUGUGAUGCUUUAAUGAAUCAAAAUCAGUCCAUUAAGGUUGCCCUCGACAAGCAAACCGAUAUCACAAAGAAGCAAAACCGCAUUCGGCUGAAUACUUCUGUUGAAUCGGUUAGAUACUUGCUACAUCAAGGUUUAGCUUUCCGUGGCAAUGAUGAAUCAGAGGAUUCAAAAAAUAAGGGGAAUUUUCGAGAGUUGGUACAAACAUUAGCAAAUCAGAAUGAGGAUGUAAGAAAGGUAGUCCUUCAGAAUGCUCCACAAAAUUGCAAAUGGGUGUGUCCAGAUAUUCAAAAAGAACUUGUGAGUUAUUUUGCCAAGAUAACGUUGGAUUCUAUUCUUGAAGAGAUUGGUGGUGAUGUUUUCAGUUUAUUGAUUGAUGAGGCUUCGGAUGUGUCAGAUAAAGAACAGAUGGCUGUUGUCUUGAGAUAUGUUGACAAGCUUGGCUGA